GGGGGCUGAGGUGUACCGGUAGAGCAUCUGCUUGACAUGCAGAAGGUCCCAGGUUCAAUCCCAGGUUAAAAGGACCA
rnacentral:tRNA from 1 species